rnacentral:hammerhead_ribozyme from 1 species
CUACUGAUGAAGAGUCCCAAACUAGGACGAAAUAGCUGUCCAGUAC